rnacentral:rRNA from 1 species
GGAAUCUUCGGCAAUGGGGGGCAACCCUGACCGAGCAACGCCGCGUGAGUGAAGAAGGUUUUCGGAUCGUAAAGCUCUGUCGUAAGAGAAGAACGUGUGUGAGAGUGGAAAGUUCACACAGUGACGGUAACUUACCAGAAAGGGACGGCUAACUACGUACACG